rnacentral:rRNA from 1 species
AUUGAACGCUGGCGGCAUGCUUUACACAUGCAAGUCGAACGGCAGCACGGGUGCUUGCACCUGGUGGCGAGUGGCGGACGGGUGAGUAAUACAUCGGAACGUAUCCAGAAGAGGGGGAUAACGCAUCGAAAGAUGUGCUAAUACCGCAUAUUCUCUGAGGAGGAAAGCAGGGGAUCGAAAGACCUUGCGCUUUGGGAGCGGCCGAUGUCUGAUUAGCUAGUUGGUGGGGUAAAGGCCUACCAAGGCGACGAUCAGUAGUUGGUCUGAGAGGACGACCAGCCACACUGGGACUGAGACACGGCCCAGACUCCUACGGGAGGCAGCAGUGGGGAAUUUUGGACAAUGGGCGCAAGCCUGAUCCAGCAAUGCCGCGUGAGUGAAGAAGGCCUCGG